CUUUUUCCAUAGCACAACUAAUGCUGCUUACUGAGAAAAUAAGUCUCAUCUUACAUGUGUGAAGAGAAAGGAAAGGAAAUAAGCAUUCUCUAUUACUCACUAUCUGCAUUCCAUGAGAAGAGGAUAUUCAUGACCACAGUCCUGAUGCUGUGCUUAAGACACUCCUGUCUCUGGCUCCUACAUGUGUGGAAUCUGCCUUGUUCUCAUCCUGCUAGAUUGGUUUCAAGUCUUUUGCUAAUUUAUAACUCAUAACACAGCCUUUUGUUCUGGUUGGCAUAAAACUUCCAUUUCUUCCA